rnacentral:lncRNA from 1 species
UAUGAUAUGAUGAUAUGAGGGAUCAUGCAAAAUGGCAACUCAUUUGGAUAUGCCUAGCUUGCACCUCCUUCACAAAGCAUCUUUCUGGAUAGAAACUUUGGAAAAUAAUAAUGAAAUAAUACUAGGCAAACGAGGUUUCAUUUUGGCAUGUGGCAAUGAUAUGGACAGGAAAAGGUGUCCAAGGAGUUUGAGGUCAAUUGGGAAAAGGAAAAUAGCACUUGCUUCACAAUGUGCCAUUUAGGGCAGAAUAGGGAAUGAAUUAUUUGAGCAUGAUGAUAAACAUGACACAUGAAAUAUUUUGCCAUAUUUGAGAAAGAUAUGACCCAAAAAAUUUAUGAGAAUUAUUUGGGAAUUUUUGGAGUGAUGGAAAUAAAGGUUGCUUCACAACCUAGGGCAAUUUGAGCUAUUCCUUUAAUAGAAAAGGAAUAUUCCCAAUGAAAAGAAUAUUGGGAUUUGGGCUAGGAUGAAAAUGACAGGGUCUAGGGAAGGGUUUGGGAAUGACAAGCCACUAUGGAAACAAAGAAGAGGGCAUCUUCUUCAGUUUCCAGACCACAAAGCCGCGAAAAAAGAAAACUCAAGCAAAAACCUCAUAAAAACAAAAGAAAAAGAAAGGGCCAAAAAUCAGGCUGUCACAAACCUUACCCCCUUAAAGAAAUCUCGUCCUUGAGAUUUGGUUGCUCAGGGAACAAGUAUGAAGAUACUGUCUUAAGGAAACCGUUUCCAACUCGGGUAUCCUUUUUCUUAUUUUUGUUCCCACUAAAUUUUUAUCUGACUGGCCCUGGGGUGGUUUGCUUUAAUAUAUCCAUAUUCUGACAGAUCUUACGUUGCUUGUUCAUGCUUAUACAGGCUCCAAUUUCUUUUUAGAUCCGCUGACUAACUGACUAUGAUUGAUUCUCACGACUGAAAUAUAUGUCGGUCUCACAAAUCCAAGAGUGAUUUCCGCUGGGUGUGUCAUCCGGCACUGACAAUCUUUCAUGAAGUGGUGAUCAGAUUUUUCUAGUGGACACCCAAGCUCUAACUCCUCGCAUUGGGUUUCUCCACUAAAUGCAGGUCAUUCGGGUUCCAAACAGUGAGUUGGGUAAUAUCCGCUUUCCUGACAGAUUCUGGCUUAUCGCGGAAGUUUCUGAAUCAUCUUAACUCGUUCCACUGUCUUGAGUAUUGGAUCCGUACCAAAUAUUUGAUUGUCGCCUGUCAUGGCUAGCAUAAGAGUUUGACCUGUAUGAUAAUAUCUGCAGACUUGACUGACGGUGGUUCUGCACCACGCGAGUCUUGCAACAAUUUUUCAUACCUGCAUCACUAGUCUUGCUCCUUCAUUAUUGUUUUCUUGGUAUGGAUCCUUGGCUAAAAGAGCUGGGUCAUAUUGCUUCUUCGUAUCACCAUAGGUACUGUCGGUGCAAUUUUUUGGCAAUCAUAGCUUAUCCUCAUUUUUCUGACAGGGUACCCUAUUAAAUGGUAGGUUCAACACCCCUCAAGUUCUGACCGCAGGAAAAUGAUCAUCCGAACCUUUGCAAGAAAUCGGCAAAUAAAUCAGUAGCCACCAGAACGGUCCUUACAACUCAGAUCUGGGACAUUACUGAAAUAACUCAACCACGACUCAGAACGGCCGAAAAGCAGCUCAGAACAUGAGACCGGGUUGAUAAGAAGAAGGUGGCAGCUCCCUAAAAUAGCCAAAAAGCAGCUAUAGGGCUACUGUCACAAAAAGAAACUCAACAACUGUACGAGACGGCUGAAAAGCAGCUCAGAACUCGUGACAGUCGUUGAAGAGAGAAAUAAAAAUCGGCAUCCACCCCAGAUAGCUAAAAAACAGCUUAGAUCACAGGCGCGGUGUCGUCAUUGGAGAAAAAGGGGACAAGGGCUCAUCAAGAUCAUUUUCCAGGUUCACAGGUACUUGUAUUGAGCUCAUUGAUGUCGUCAAUCCUCAUAAUCCUCUAUCACACUGCGGUGUAUACUGGCUUUCUUCUCUUAACCAUCCUCACGUGGUUCUCAGAUCCUCAUCCGAGUGACUUGUAAGAUCUUGGUGGUAUGCCCACCGCAUAUAUAUGAGAAUCUGAUUCCCGAGACAGACGUGUAUUCUGACUGAUUCUCGCUUCUGACCAAAAUGUUGUGGAUAUGAUUCUUGGGAUUCACUGCCAUAUGCAAUUCAAUUCACAGCGUACUACCUUGUACCAAUGUCUUACUGAGGAAGAUUGGCUUGCUUGUGCUUGAAACUUUCAUCGGACACUUUGCUGAAGAAGACUGGGUAUCGUGCUUCAGAAGCUUACCCCCUUAACGAUCUUACUGGGGAAAGACUCAGUACCUUAUGCCGAAAGCUUUUGCGGUUGCUUACUGAAGAAGGCAGAGUACCUUGUACGGGAAAUCAUCCAUGUAUCGUAUUGAGGAAGAUAGAUGAAUCUUGCCUUGGAAGUUUCUCGGGUAUCUUGCGAGGGAAGAUUGGGUUGCUUACACCAGAAGCUUCUUAUUGUGAUAUGCGGACUGAUUUCCACAUAUAUAACCAUCUUAAUAUUUUUGUUAUUGAUUUCUUGUAUGAAACGGGGUUUUGCAGGACUAUCCUCCUUUCUGAGUACAUGCCAUAUUUUUGCUUGCUUCCAGGUACAUCGGGUUCCAAAAUCAUCCUCAACAAAAAAUUAAACUUGUAUCUCAGCCAUACCUUUGAUAAUAUUCUGUCAACCUUGCACACAAUUUAUCUUCUUGCUGAUUUGAUCAUUUCUGCUAUGAGGAGUGCACGCUGAGGGAGACUUGACACUCAGUAACAUGAUCAGAUAUCCCCCAAUCUGAAUGCAGCCGGUUGAGAAUUCCAUACUGUUGUGAGGAGUGCACGUUAAUGCAAACUUUAUACUGACAUUCCAUCCAGGACUCUUUUGUAUUCAGACGAGCUAUUUCCAAUUUCACUACAGUCCGCUGACAAUUCCAUUCUGUUUAGUUGAGUUUCCAAAUAUAUGCAUUUCUUGCUGACUCUUCGGGUCCGGUGUCGGCUGACGAGCAACUUUAAUAGGGGAAAAUUUGUAACACUGAAGGCCCAAAGAAAGAAACAAAAGAAACGACUAAAACAAAAGCACACAAGCAUACUACUAAUAUAAUUAAUCAAGCAAUCAUCACAUAUUACUGCUACUCACACCAUAAUAUGCAUGCACACCUAAGCACACAAAUCGCGCGGAAACUCGGGUAUUACGGUCUAAUAUGCUGUGGCGGUGUGCACGAAAAUUAUAUCCAUGUGUGGAAGGAGUUGGCGUAACCGAAGCUACACCAAGCACUGGCUGAACAGUGGCUGGAUCCGGAUGGAUACACAGGUGAGGACGGACUUGACGAUCAAGUAGCGAGACAUAAAAGUCACGACCACAUCAUCAUCAAACGUACGAAAUGGAUUCAUACACGUCCAAAGAAUAGAAUGACUGGGUAGGGUAGCUGUGGAAAAACAAGGCUCGCUGGCAUUGCCCUUUUCUGAUAACCAAGAUCAGUAAGGGUUGCCAGAGGGACGAGAUGGAUGGCAUGAUUCGGGAUAGAAACAAGUCUAUCACCGAAAUAAUAUGGGUAGGUUGCGGAAAAAUAUAUGCGAUACCUGAGCAUAACUCCUGCAAAUGGUGUCUGGAACUCUGGGUACCAGGGCAUCACUCUGCUGGGACAGAGAUGACGCCGAACACCAAAGAGCAGACAUGCUAAGAAGGAGGGUACACGCGGUGGACCGAAAACGAUGCCACCUACACUCACCAGAUAAAAUCGCUAGCAGCAAAUAAUAAGGCUAUAUGCAUGCUAUGCAACAAACAAAUGCAGCAACCAAAUGCAACAAACAAGGUAGACUCUAUACUACCGAUUACUACCGAUUUCUACCACUCGCGCUGACUAGGGCGUCCUACAGCCAGACCUGCUCUGAUACCAAGCCCGUGGCACCCCGGUUCAGAGAAACCGGAACGCCCCGUAUUCCAGCCCAGAGAUCAAGGAGAAGUCUCUGGAAUACGACACUGCUUGACAUAGAACAAAUAAGCUCUUAUUACAAGAAUAAUAAUACAAGGGUCUGAUGUUACAAAGAAGCACAUCAGCACGGCGGCACUACGCCUACGAUACUACACUUGCUCUAUGCUAGCAGCGAAACAACUUGUAGCAGCGGAAUACUUCUAGCAGCGGAACAACGACGAAGGUGGUGAACUCCACUCCGCAGGGACUCUGGCUGGGACAUGAUCUAGCUCGCACGAACGGACACCUCGACAAACAAUCAAGCAAUCAUGGCAUCACCUGCAAUCUGGCAUGACACGCCAGGUUAAUACAUUGAAUGUACUUGCAAGCUCACAACAACCAUAAACAUCAAGGCAAGACAAUAACAUAGCAUUAACAGGUUAAUUAAUUAACAUCUACCAAGAUGAAGCACCUACUAAUCAUGAUAUGAAACUGAUACAAUACUGAUAAAUCACCAUCUCAGAUCUCCAUAACCAUAUCUCUCUUGGCUAACCGGCCAAGCAAUAUACCAUCUCGAUCACCUCGUGAUCAAAACCAAACGGUGAUCAUUCCGGCGAUCACAACCCUGACCAACACCUGGUCUCAAAUGGUGAUCUUUCCGGCGAUCACUACCAUGACCAACACUUGGUCGCCAACAUCAUCAUCAACAUCCUGCCAAACUAUUACUGCUCACAUAUAUCAACAUAUAAAUAUAUAUCACCUAUAAGUCAUUCUGUCAUGUGAGUGUUGAUCGAACGGUGUGACCUAGUACGAACCCAUGCCCAUGACCAAGGACGCGGCUAUCGAUAGAUUUAAUUACACACUCUGCAGAGGUGGCGCACUUUACCCACACCACGGAAUCCAUGGCCUCGCACUCCCAUUCGGGUGGACCAACGGCGUUCCGACAAAACCGAUCUACUGCCAUGACACUUUCCCGGCCACUCUGACCAACACCCCUUUUUGGGUUCAGUCCUGGGUGGCCCAUGCCUACCAAAGGUCUUACGGCCACCGUCGUGGCAAAAACGGUCCCAAACAGGGACAAAGUGCGCAAAACAACUCGGGCUCACAAGGUCCAUGUCCGCCUACCUGAUCAGGGUAGCGCGUGCCCGUAACCUUCCCUACGUUGGAGGCACCGGCGAGAGGCAUGACAAUAGCAUCGCAUUAGGGCCUUCCCAUAAAGGCAAAUGUGGUUGCACUGGAGAAAGCCCGGUUUGGUGGCACCUGACCAACUUAAUGACAUAAUUUAGCCCCAAAAAUAUAACUGUAAUGACUGAUACUCCGAUAUCAUCUAUCAACCUAUAAUCCAAGUCAUAGCAUACCCAACAAAUAAUCCAAGCAUCAUAACAUCAUACCAAGAUACUCCGAGGAUAGUAUAACACUACUAUCAUGAUGAAUCCAAGAACGAUAAUACUACUACUCAAAUAUCAAGAACUAACUAUCCAACUAUGAUCCACAUGCAAGCAUCAUCUCGAACAUCAUACUCCAAAACAUAAUAUCAUCUAGCAUCAUGAUGGAAAUAACACUAGCCACUAAUAAUCCAAAGGCAACAUGAUAUCCAAAGUAAUACUCCAAAAUACUCCCAGAUACCAUCAUGAAAAUAAUCAUAAUAGCCACUAAGAAUCCAAAGGCACAUGUCAUCCACAUAAUCAUCAAAAUAUAAGUCCUAGAACUCCAAGCAAUAUCAUGGCAAUAGCAAGAUCAAAACAAUACUCCGAGAAUGCCAUGAACAAAUCACAAGUAGCUAGAACAAUAUUUUAAACAAGUUUAAAUAAAGAGACCAUGUCACUGCAUUGCGAUCAUGCAAAUGGAGGGUGUGGCUUUCCUGGGGUGGAAGAAAUCACCGGGAAGAAGUGCGAGAAACUCGCGGAAGGAAUCGCCGGAAAACGUUCAUUCUCGUAGGGGGCUGAUUAAGGGUAGGGAAAAAUGGUCAUUUUCAGAAUGUAAAAACAUGGUGAAAAUGAUACCAACAGAAUGGGCUCGACGAAACAAAGAAGUGGGCUUUGGAAUCACCUCAUUUGGAGUUACGAGCAAAAAGAUAUAAGGGCUUUUCUGCUAGGGACCUAUCUGUAAUGAAAUCAUCACAAACAGGCCCUCGGCUGGAAAAACAGAACGCGCCUUUCUCAGAAAUACCUUUUCCAGAGAGGCCCGCGGGCGUUGACUCUCUCCUCCCACCUCCUUCUUCUUCUCCCCCGACACCGCACGCAGAGUCGAGGAGAGGCGCCAGCGCCGGUGCUCGUUCCGGCAGCUCCGGCCAUCUCCCGAGGAGAUCCGGCCAUGGAUGAGCUCAGCGGAGCACGGCGCAUCACCUGGGACCAUCUUCGGCCGGCUAGGAGGGCCGAAGCGUUGGCUGCUUCGAGGCCGGCGGGCGGAGGUCUUCGGGCGCCGGUGAGCUUGCGGAAAGGGGCCACUAGAGAAGAAGGAGAGAUGCAGGGGAGGCCCGCGGGGGCUAGGUGGGUCUCUGGUGGUGGUAUAAGGAGGGGAGGGGCUCGACUCCAGGCGAAUUUAGCCGGAGCACCGCGGCGGCCAUGGCGGCCUAGAGCAGCGAGGAGGGGUGCUGGAGCUUGGGCGGGAUCCGGGGAGUGGUGUGAGGCUGGGGGUGAGCUCGAACGGCUCGGGGGAGGCCUAUAUAUAGGAGGGCGAGAGGGAUGGGCUCGGGUGCCACCGGGCACAUCUGGCCGAGGCUCUGGCGACGGCCAGCGAGCACGGGAGGGCGCGGGAACAUGACGAGCUAUUGAUGCAGGGAUCACGGAGAGGUAGGCGACGCCGGGGAGCAGAGGAAGAAGCCGAGCACCAUUAAAACAUGUCGGGGCACUGUGCUCCCGUGGGCGUCCGGCGGCGAGCGUCGGUGAGGAAACGGACGGAGGGGGAGAGGGGUCCAGGGGAACGGCGACGACACAGGCCAUCUGCUGGACACGCUCACGCGCGCGAAGGCGACGAGAGGAGGAGGGGGUCCAGCACAAACAGGCACUGGACGCGGCCACUGCACACAGAGCGCGUGCACAGGCACGCCAUUGUCGCGGUCACCGUGUGCACUGGCAUAUAGCGGGGGAGAUGGGCUGGAACUUGUUGGCUACGGGUUAUUUCUUCUAGGGUAGGUCUCAACUACGGUGAUAGUUUGGUGAAAACGGCUCUGGUUAAAAGGUAAUCACCCUCUGAAGUUUACUGCAGUAAACUUGGGUGAGCAUUGGUGAUUAACAGGAAGGUGAUUGGGAGAAAUGGAGUUGUCUGGGAGGUUAGGGUAAGAAGGACUUUCAUCCUGGUAACUUUGAGAAGAUUUGGAUAAAUAUUUAAUGUAGUUGCUUUGCAACUGACCAAAAUGGUCCAGAAACUUGAUCAGGAAGGUGCACUCACAUGGAGUGUCAAACUGAGCUCAAAUUGGGCAAGGCAGAGUCAUUUGGUCCUAUGAAGAUGCUCAAAAAGUCUCAUACCAAUUGGCCAAGCCAAACUAGUACUUGCUUCAGAAACAUCUCCUCUGGAUAGAAACUUGCAAAAAUUCUAGAGGAAUAAAGGCUUGAUGAACCAUGCCCAAAAUGGGUGGAGGUAGGUUAUAUGGAUAAUUGAAGGCCUAGAAAAAUUGGCAGCCAUAAUGGAGCAAGAUAAAAUAUACUUGCUUCACAAACUGAAAUUUUGGAUAGAAUCAAAGAAUUGAAGAUGAGCUCUCAUGGAGGCAUGACAUGAGCUCUACUUUGGUGGAGGGCUAUGAUAUGAUGAUAUGAGGGAUCAUGCAAAAUGGCAACUCAUUUGGAUAUGCCUAGCUUGCACCUCCUUCACAAAGCAUCUUUCUGGAUAGAAACUUUGGAAAAUAAUAAUGAAAUAAUUACUAGGCAAAUGAGGUUGCAUUUUGGCAUGUGGAAAUGAUAUGGACAGGAAAAGGUGUCCAAGGAGUUUGAGGUCAAUUGGGAAAAGAAAAAUAGCACUUGCUUCACAAUGUGCCAUUUAGGGCAGAAUAGGGAAUGAAUUAUUUGAGCAUGAUGAUAAACAUGACAAAUGAAAUAUUUUGCCAUAUUUGAGAAACAUAUGACCCAAACAAUUUAUGAGAAUUAUUUGGGAAUUUUAGGAGAGAUGGAAAUAAAGGUUGCUUCACAACCUAGGGCAAUUUGAGCUAUUCCUUUAAUAGAAAAGGAAUAUUCCCAAUGAAAAGAAUAUUGGGAUUUGGGCUAGGAUGAAAAUGACAGGGUCUAGGGAAGGGUUUGGGAAUGACAAGCUACUCUGGAAACAAAGAAGAGGGCAUCUUCUUCAGUUUCCAGACCACAAAGCCGCGAAAAAAGAAAACUCAAGCAAAAACCUCAGAAAAACAAAAGAAAAAGAAAGGGCCAAAAAUCAGGCUGUCACAGAAUAGCACCAUGAUCU